rnacentral:rRNA from 1 species
GUGUCAGCAGCCGCGGUAAUACGUAGGGGGCAAGCGUUGUCCGGAUUCAUUGGGCGUAAAGAGCGUGUAGGCGGCCAGGUAGGUCGGUUGUGAAAACUGGAGGCUCAACCUUCAGACGUCGACCGAAACCAUCUGGCUAGAGUCCGGGAGAGGAGAGUGGAAUUCCUGGUGUAGCGGUGAAAUGCGCAGAUAUCAGGAAGAACACCCGUGGCGAAAGCGGCUCUCUGGAACGGUACUGACGCUGAGACGCGAAAGCGUGGGGAGCGAACAGGAUUAGAUACCCUGGUAGUCCACGCCGUAAACGAUGGGCGCUAGGUGUGGGAGGUGUCGACUCCUUCCGUGCCGAAGCUAACGCAUUAAGCGCCCCGCCUGGGGAGUACGGCCGCAAGGCUAAA